rnacentral:rRNA from 1 species
CCUACGGGAGGCAGCAGUGAGGAAUAUUGGUCAAUGGGCGCGAGCCUGAACCAGCCAAGUCGCGUGAGGGAGGACGGCCCUACGGGUUGUAAACCUCUUUUGCCGGGGAGCAACGGGCGCCACGUGUGGCGUCACUGAGAGUACCCGGAGAAAAAGCAUCGGCUAACUCCGUGCCAGCAGCCGCGGUAAUACGGAGGAUGCGAGCGUUAUCCGGAUUUAUUGGGUUUAAAGGGUGCGUAGGCGGAUCGUUAAGUCAGUGGUCAAAUUGAGGGGCUCAACCGUAAAAUUGCAAUUGAUACUGGCAGUCUUGAGUACAGUUGAGGUAGGCGGAAUUCGUGGUGUAGCGGUGAAAUGCUUAGAUAUCACGAAGAACUCCGAUUGCGAAGGCAGCUUACUAAACUGCCACUGACAUUGAUGCUCGAAAGUGUGGGUAUCAAACAGGAUUAGAUACCCGUGUAGUC